rnacentral:rRNA from 1 species
GGGGGGGGGGGGGGGGGUGGGUGGGGGGGGGGGGUGGGGGGAGGGGGGCGGGGGGGGUGGCGCGGGGGUGGGAAGGGCGUGGGGAGCUGCGAUUAGGUUGGGAGUAAAUGCAGGCCAGUGGUGGUAUGACAGGAUCGUGUCUUCGGAGCAAAGAUUUGUCGCCUUUGGAGGGGGACGCGUUGGGUUAGCUAGUUGGUAGGGGAAAAGCCUACAAAGGCGGCGAUCCAUAGCUGGUCUGAUAGGAUGAUCAGCCACACUGUAACUGAGACACGGCCCAGACUCCUACGGGAGGCAGCAGUGGGGAAUAUUGGACAAGGGGCUAAAGCCUGAUCCAGCAAUGCCGCGUGAGUGAUGAAGGCCUUAGGGUUGUAAAGCUCUUUUACCCGGGAUGAUAAUGACAGUACCGGGAGAAUAAGCUCCGGCUAACUCCGUG